GUUGAACGCUGGCGGCAGGCCUAACACAUGCAAGUCGAGCGGAUGAAGGGAGCUUGCUCCUGGAUUCAGCGGCGGACGGGUGAGUAAUGCCUAGGAAUCUGCCUGGUAGUGGGGGAUAACGUCCGGAAACGGGCGCUAAUACCGCAUACGUCCUGAGGGAGAAAGUGGGGGAUCUUCGGACCUCACGCUAUUAGAUGAGCCUAGGUCGGAUUAGCUAGUUGGUGGGGUAAAGGCCUACCAAGGCGACGAUCCGUAACUGGUCUGAGAGGAUGAUCAGUCACACUGGAACUGAGACACGGUCCAGACUCCUACGGGAGGCAGCAGUGGGGAAUAUUGGACAAUGGGCGAAAGCCUGAUCCAGCCAUGCCGCGUGUGUGAAGAAGGUCUUCAGAUUGUAAAGCACUUUAAGUUGGGAGGAAGGGCAGUAAGUUAAUACCUUGCUGUUUUGACGUUACCAACAGAAUAAGCACCGGCUAACUUCGUG
rnacentral:rRNA from 1 species